rnacentral:rRNA from 1 species
UACAGAGGUCCCAAGCGUUUGUUCGGAUUCACUGGGCGUAAAGGGUGCGUAGGCGGUCGGGUAAGUCUGAUGUGAAAUCUCCGGGCUCAACCCGGAAAUGGCAUUGGAUACUAUUCGGCUCGAGGUCUGGAGGGGGGACUGGAAUACUUGGUGUAGCAGUGAAAUGCGUAGAUAUCAAGAGGAACACCAGUGGCGAAGGCGAGUCCCUGGACAACACCUGACACUGAGGCACGAAAGCUAGGGGAGCAAACAGG